GCAAGGUGUGGUGCACAGGGUGGGUUGCACACAGCGUGGGGUGCAGAGCAUGCCCAGGGGCACAGGGGUUCUCACUGUAGCAGGGGUUCCCUGCGCUGGGAUGUCAUCCUGGUGCUCUGCAGCACAUCCCCGUGUCCUGCAGCUCAUGCUGGUGCCCUGCAGCACAGCCCGGGCUGUGAAGCCCAUCCCCUUGUCCUGCAGCCCAUCCCCGUGUCCUGCGGCCCAUCCCCGUGUCCCACAGCCCAUCCCCGUGUCCCGCAGCCCAUCCCCGUAUCCUGCAGCCCAUCCCCGUGUCCUGCGGCCCAUCCCCGUGUCCUGCGGCCCAUCCCCGUAUCCUGCAGCCCAUCCCCGUGUCCCGCAGCCCAUCCCCGUGUCCCGCAGCCCAUUCCCGGUGGCUCCGGUCACGAGGUGGCGCUGCGAGCCCGCGCUGCGACACGAGGAGCCCAGAACCCGGCACCCAGCACCGUGUGACUUCAUCCUGCACCCUGUGACCGCAUCCUGCACCCCGAGCCCUCAUCCUGCACCCCGAGCCCUCAUCCUCCAUCCUGUGACCUCAUCCUGCACCCCGAACUCUCAUCCUGCACCCUGUGACCUCAUCCUGCGCCCUGAACCCUCAUCCUGCAACCUGUGACCUUAUCCAGUAAACCGGAGACAUUUCAAACCCCCGGCAGAUACACCCCAAAAUGACUGAGGAAACUGAGGCAGGGCAAUCAGGGUGGCUCUGGCUGUGCUGCUAUGGCUGCCUCUGACAUCCCUGGAUUUUGGGAUUUAGGAGAGAAACACCCCCAUGGCAGGUUGAUGUGAUUGUCCCAUCCUGCUUUGUUUAUCCACCCAAGGUAUCCCAAGGAGCUCAAACCACAGGCAACCCUGGCUGUAUAAUUUAAUGAGAAUAAAUUUAAAAAAAAACC